UGAGGAUGCACUAGCAGAUUAUGUCUUGAGGUGUCAGGAGAGGAGGAGAAGAAUUGCUAUUGUUGCUAGUGCCAUGAUCGUUCAUGAUAUGAGGGUGUUCAAAGAUACAAUUGAGAAGUAUGGAGACAAGUUUCCACAUCCACCUCAAGACAAGUUCUAUCUUGUCGACUCGGGGUACCCAAACCGACCGAGUUAUCUUGCACCGUACAAGGGUACACAGUAUCUUCUCCCGAAGUAUCGACAAGGCCUAAUGCCAAGAGGUAAAAAAGAACAAUUUAAUUAUGCACAUUCUUCACUUCGAAAUAUUAUCGAGCGGUCUUUUGGAGUUUUGAAGAUGAAGUGGAGUAUUUUGUUAGAUCUACCAAGUUAUCCGAUGCCAAAGCAAAGCCAAAUAAUUAUCGCAUAUAUGACAUUUCAUAAUUUCAUUCGAGAGAGUUAUUUGGCGGAUGCAGACUUUGAUUUGUGUGACCAUGAUAAAAACUAUGUUCCAUUGUCCGAAGCAUUGUCUUCUCAAGGAAAUAUAGCUAAUACAUGUCAUGGGGUCGAAGAUCAAAACAUGAAUCAGUUUCGUGAUUGGAUAGCCGAUGGCUUGUUUAGUAGGUUAUAGCUGUGAUGGUUUCUAAUACAUGAACAUUGUUUCGAAUGUAUGGAUAAUUUUUCAAAUGUUUGAGCAAUUUGGAGAGUGUAUAGCCGGCUAGCAGCGCGGCAAGGCAGCACGGGAUGAGCAAUUUGGGGAGUGUUGUAACA